rnacentral:rRNA from 1 species
CCCUUAGAUGUUCUGGGCCGCACGCGCGCUACACUGACGAAUGCAACGAGCUUAUAACCUUGGCCGAAAGGUACGGGUAAUCUUUUGAAACUUCGUCGUGCUGGGGAUAGAUCCUUGCAAUUUUUGAUCUUAAACGAGGAAUGCCUAGUAAGCGCAAGUCAUCAACUUGCGUUGAUUACGUCCCUGCCCUUUGUACACACCGCCCGUCGCUACUACCGAUUGAAUGGUUUAGUGAGGCCUUCGGAUCCGCGACUCGUUUGUGGAGAAGUUGGACAAACUCAGUCAUUUAGAGGAAGUAAAAGUCGUAACA